CUCUUACUUUUAACCCCAAAAAUAAUUUCAUUUUCCUUUCAUCAUCUAGACCAAACAUAUCAUCUAACCAUGUCAUCUCACAGACCACAAGAUCAACCUUCUUCAUCUUCAAACUCUGGUCACCACACACCACAACCGCUUCCACUGCAACUUAGCCGCUACGAAUCGCAGAAACGCCGUGACUGGAACACGUUCUUACAAUACCUCAAAACCCUAAACCCACCCAUGGCAAUCUCUAUAUUCGACCACACACAUGUCCUAAGCUUCCUCAAAUAUUUAGACCAAUUCGGUAAAACCAAAGUCCAUAACCAAGUUUGUGUCUUCUUUGGACAACCCGAUCCACCGUUGCCUUGCACGUGUCCUUUAAAGCAAGCUUGGGGAAGCUUAGAUGCUUUGAUAGGACGGUUAAGAGCUGCUUACGAAGAACACGGUGGUGGAUCAUCCGAGAACAACCCGUUUGGAAACGGGUCGAUCCGAAUAUAUUUGAGGGAAGUGAGACAGUUUCAAGCUAAGGCUCGUGGAAUCCCAUAUAGGAAGAGAAGUAAACGAAAGAAGAAGACAUACGACGUCGUUGUAUAGCAAGAUUAAGUUACAUCUUGAAAAACAUAUAUAGUUUCCAAUAUAAGAUAUAUCGAGGAGAGUAUUAAGAGGAGUAAAAAGAGGGUAGAUGAACUCGAUCAGCACUGGCCACUGGGACACUCCUGUCUCACAGUCUCCAAGUUCUUGGACACAGUUAUGAAACCAUGAAUUAAUAAAGCACGGUUAAUUAUUGAUCUAAGCCAAAUAUAUAUGUAGUACGAUCAUGUACGUAGUCAUUAUCCCAUAUACAACAUGCAUUUCAAAACAAUAUAUAACCUGUAGAUGGAUUCCGGCCGGUAUGCAAAAUGAAUGUGAGAUUGUGAUUGAGAUUUUGCUUCU